rnacentral:rRNA from 1 species
AUUGAACGCUGGCGGCAGGCCUAACACAUGCAAGUCGAGCGGUAACAGAAAGAAAGCUUGCUUUCUUUGCUGACGAGCGGCGGACGGGUGAGUAAUGCCUGGGAAUAUACCCUGAUGUGGGGGAUAACUAUUGGAAACGAUAGCUAAUACCGCAUAAUCUCUUCGGAGCAAAGCGGGGGACCUUCGGGCCUCUCGCGUCAGGAUUAGCCCAGGUGGGAUUAGCUAGUUGGUGGGGUAAUGGCUCACCAAGGCGACGAUCCCUAGCUGGUCUGAGAGGAUGAUCAGCCACACUGGAACUGAGACACGGUCCAGACUCCUACGGGAGGCAGCAGUGGGGAAUAUUGCACAAUGGGGGAAACCCUGAUGCAGCCAUGCCGCGUGUAUGAAGAAGGCCUUCGGGUUGUAAAGUACUUUCAGUUGUGAGGAAGGCGUUGGAGUUAAUAGCUUCAGCGCUUGACGUUAGCAACAGAAGAAGCACCGGCUAACUCCGUG